CUCUGUGACUCCUACGGGAGGCAGCAGUGGGGAAUAUUGCACAAUGGGGGAAACCCUGAUGCAGCCAUGCCGCGUGUGUGAAGAAGGCCUUCGGGUUGUAAAGCACUUUCAGCAGUGAGGAAGGUGGUGCAGUUAAUAGCUGUAUCAUUUGACGUUAGCUGCAGAAGAAGCACCGGCUAACUCCGUGCCAGCAGCCGCGGUAAUACGGAGGGUGCGAGCGUUAAUCGGAAUUACUGGGCGUAAAGCGCAUGCAGGUGGUUUGUUAAGUCAGAUGUGAAAGCCCCGGGGCUCAACCUCGGAAUUGCAUUUGAAACUGGCAGACUAGAGUACUGUAGAGGGGGUAGAAUUUCAGGUGUAGCGGUGAAAUGCGUAGAGAUCUGAAGGAAUACCGGUGGCGAAGGCGGCCCCCUGGACAGAUACUGACACUCAGAUGCGAAAGCGUGGGGAGCAAACAGGAUUAGAUACCCUGGUAG
rnacentral:rRNA from 1 species